UGUGUGUGUGUUCUUUUUUUGUAUACACUUUUGGAGAUUCAGCCUACUUUGUUUCUGUGUUAUCUUCAACACGGAUUUUUCAGCUUUUUUUGUAUGAAGAUGUUCAAAAAACGUUUGUUCUUUGCUUUAAAUAGGAGACAGUCGGCUUCAAAUCAGACUAUUAUCGCUGUGCCUGUAAGGCCGCUUAAAAAAAGGACUCUUGCUGAAAAGAGUUGAAAAAUGCGUCUCAUGCAGCUGGAAAUUAUUCUCCAGUGCCCAAAACAUACAGCUGAGUGAAGGCUACUAUGAGUCAUUUGAUAUUCUAGUAAUUAUUAGCGCUGUGACUAUCUAAAAAUGUGACUUGCUUCAAUAGAAAGUUAUUCAAUUACUGCACGUUGACCAGAUUUCUGCCUUUCCUCUGUGGCCAUGACAACCAUGGGUUAAAAGACUCUCCUUACAGUAGCAGUUGGUGAAUCAGCAGUAAAUAUUCUGGGAUUCUGCUGAGUUAAUGUUUGUCCAUCUCAGUUUUGGAAAAAAAUUUACAGCAGUCACCACUUCAUUCAGCAAAAACUACAGCGAGCACAGAGAAUUGAGGUAUCCAUUCAGACGACAGUUUUACAGCAGCCGCGUUCGCUCGGCACUAAAUCCUCCCGACUCUGAGACUGACCUUAUUUUCUGAGGAAAAAGCAGUGGGGAGAGGCGGAAGAGUUGAGCUCAAAUUUAGUGUUUCAUUUGGUUAAUAUCAUCGUUUGGCUCUGUAAAUUUACAGCAGCCCUCCAUUUGAAUUAGACUGCAGGGAGCAGUUAGAGCGAGGCCGUGUCCGCGUGGAUAAAGUGUGUACGCUAAUGCAAAUGCACGGAUCAAUACUGCUGUGUUUGCUUUUCUGCUGCUGCCUCUGUUGGCUCACAGUGUGUGUGUGUGUGUGUGUGUCUGUGUGUGCAUGUUUGACAUCUGCAUGAGCAGCGUGCACAAGCGUUUAACUUUGACCUCCUCAGGUGACCGUGCCACUUGAAGGGACCACCAAAACCUUGAUAACAAAUCCACGACGAUUCCACUGAAACGGCUCAACGCCACCGACACGUUUCAAAGAUCACAUUAGCAUAAAACCACAUUUCAUUUAGCAUACAUCUGAACUGAUUGCACUGGAGUUCAAAACACUAACAUUUGUUCUUAUGGUUGAAAAAAAAAAAAAAGAGUACAAAGGAAGCUAUCUUAAAUCCUUCAGGGAGCAGCUGACCCUCAUCAACCAUGAGUUUGUUAGUGGACUCCUGCUGAAGUGUGGAGAGCUUGUCCUCCAGCUCCAAUUCAAGAGCAGGACCGGAAAUCCUUCAGUAAAACUGUAAUGUUCUGUCAGGGAAGCAUGAAUGUCCGUCAGCAAAGACCAAAGUGCACACCUUUGUACUCAAGAGCUUGGAUGAUGUGGACUCUGUUGGGAUACACUCGUUCCUCGAUGUGGAAUGCAAACUUUGAUUCAAACACCACAGUUGUUGUGGUCCAGGGAUUUAGGACCAAACGUCUCUCACAGUUCGUCCUCCGAUGACAGACGCUUGUCUGAGUCAGACAGGAUUUAAUGGAGAGCCAGAGUCACGAUGAAACCGGCCUGGAUGCCGUUCCUCCACUAAUUCUGACGCCUCACGGCACAAAUCUCUUCAUUUUCAGCUGCCCUUCAUGUCUGUUAACGGUGUCUAACAUGGUACCACUGACCAUUCGGUGCGCUACCCCGUGGACAAAAGGCCGAAGUUUCCUGUGGCAGACGGCGCUCAGAAAUCCGCCAUUCUUUGGGUUGAACUUUGAUGGCUUGUCUGAUCAUUACGGCCAAUGUAGUGUGGCGCCUGGCGGAGUGAUCCGUUCUGCUUCAACUGUUUGUAAAUGAGUUGAACAGAGUUUGAUGUUUUCUGUGUUUCUUUGAAAUAUUGAACGUUUUUAAAUGUUCUUGAACCAAAGUGUCACAGCAGAGGGAUGAAGAUCCACAUGUGGCUGCAGAGCCUCAGGUUGGAGACCCCUCUGUCAGAUCACCAGCUCAGCCUUAAGGAAUCCAGACUUUGAUUUCUGACAGAGCUAAACAUUAAUGUGGACCUGGGUGAGCCGAAAUAGUCCUGCUAGUCAUGACACACUUAUGUGAUGAACUCAUUGAGUGAUUCUGUGGGAAUCUUCGGUCCAGUGUGCCAAAUGUAAUUCAUCUUCGAGGUUCUUUGUUAAACUGCUGAGGGGGGACAGAAAUAAUCCCCCUGGUCUAUUGGAACUGCUCUCAGCUGUUUGCUAAAGGGAUAAAAAGGCCCUCAGUGAUCAAAUGUGAAGACAAACCGAGAAGAGGAAAUUACAAAUUUGUGCAGAGCAGAAAUGAAAGCAUGAGUGAGCUUCACGCUUAAAUGAAAGGCAAGAAACUUGAAAACUCUGACGAGUCACAGCGCCGCUCGGCUCGAUAAGGAGGGAGCGCAGCGUGGGGGGGAGUGGAGAGGCGCGUGGAAAAUGACAAAGCCCAGGAAUAAAUGAGAACCGCCUCGGUGUGAGAAACAAAAUCAGAGCGCCGACAGACACGAGCGGUCAGCAGGACAAUAAAAGUGAGCAGGCUCAAUCCAGCCCCAACAUUAUUCUGCUGUAAAAGAGCCCCUUAUCUCCACAGCGGGGGCCGGCACAGCUCAUUUGGGAAUGCACAUUCAAUAAAGAGUGGACACGGAAAAAUUUGUCAAGCUGGAAGUUUCUGGAUUUGCCCAACAGCUGAACUGCUGCUCCUUUAAUAUUCUGCAUGCUCUUCAGAAUCCAAAUGUUCUGCUUCAGGGCUUCACACUUCGAUUGUAAACGUAUAAAAUGGCAAAUAUGUUUUAGUUUCUGCAGGUUUCAUGCUCUCUUUCUGAAUCAGGACCAAAUAUCAAAGCUGCAUUCAAUCCAACGCCAUGCUGGAAACACCUCAUGCCUCUUUCACCAUCAUCGCUGACAUCAGUCCAGUUAAAAUAGAUUUGACAUCUAUUUUUAUAAUAAAAUAGAAGCAAAACACUAAAGAUUGAAGCUUUAAAUGCUUUUAAAUAGGACAGCUGUUUGCAGGGUUGUUGCCUUUGGUCCUUUUCAGCUUUUUGAUCCUCACGGUUUUCUGUAGAUUCUCUUCAUGACA